rnacentral:lncRNA from 1 species
GAUCCUCCUGCCUCCGACCCAGCAACUACUCCCCUUCGGAAUGAUGAGCCUGAAGCCGACGAGCCUUUCAUUCCUGAAGAAGUCCUCCGACCUCGCCGAAGGAAGAAGGCUGCUAAAAAGGCCAGAACUACCCCUCGCGAGAUAAAUCCUGAAAGCGACGAGGAGGUUCUUCCCGAAGCAAACCCACAAUCAACUCCUCCUACUGACCCCGUUACCACACCUUCUGAACCAGCCCCAAUAAAGAGGAGUCUACUUGACAUACCUCUACACGAUCGGGCGAAAGUCCUUCGUGCCAAAAAAUUAAGAUCAAAAAUAAUUCCCCUCACCGCCGAAGAACUCCGCGUCCCUUCAACUUCAACAAUUGAC